rnacentral:rRNA from 1 species
UACGUAGGGCGCAAGCGUUGUCCGGAAUUAUUGGGCGUAAAGAGCUCGUAGGCGGUUUGUCGCGUCUGCUGUGAAAACCCGAGGCUCAACCUCGGGCCUGCAGUGGGUACGGGCAGACUAGAGUGUGGUAGGGGAGACUGGAAUUCCUGGUGUAGCGGUGAAAUGCGCAGAUAUCAGGAGGAACACCGGUGGCGAAGGCGGGUCUCUGGGCCGUAACUGACGCUGAGGAGCGAAAGCGUGGGGAGCGAACAGG